AUAUUUACUUGGCAGGGGCAAUACUAUGAUCAAAAAGGUGGUUUGCACAAAGUGAGGCCCAGCCAUUGCACUCAGGCUGUGUUAACCUUUAUGAAUUUCUUAAAUGCAGAAACCUCAACUGCAUAAUUUCUGAUAGUGGGGGACUGUGUUCAUGCUCUCCUCUU